AGAUGAUCGCCACAUCGCAUCUAUUUGUGUGCAUAGUAAUUGCGGAAUCGCACGGUGAGUAAGUUGUCGUUGGUGCGCUACAUGAUAGGACAGUUCCAAAAUAUGAAACAGAAUGUGAGAACUCGAAGAAUCCCCCUCCCAAAGCAGAAGGCUUUACCAGCAUAGAAAUACUGCCUUUUCGCACGGACCGAGUAACCGCGGACGAAUGCCACUUAUGGCACGAAAUGGACUGUGGAAACGGCCAGAAAAGUUACUGCUACGGACCAUCCGGCAUAUCCAGCACGUAUUUCACUAUGGACUGUGUAUGGGGCGGCACAAGAUCAGCCAUGGCCGUGUUCGCACGAAAUAUUAGCAAGGUUAGUCCGCAGCGCGCGAUCUUUGUGGAAAUGGUCGAGAGAAACGACACGGAGGACCCCGUCCACCCGGAUGUCUUCCAGCCAAUCCACAAACAGCUCAUCAGGAAUCGAAGAAUGCGUGACUUCGCCCAUCACGGCGAAGUUAUUUGAUAUUGGAUUGGUGCCUAGUCUGGUCGCGUUGAACGUUUAUUCCUGUAGGGA